ACUACAUAUGUGGUAUUCUCUACUUGUGUGGUAAUUGUUAAAGUUUUACACUAUCUGUAUGGUAAUUAUUGAAGUUUGUACAUAGUAAUGUUGACCUGACUUUCUGGUGUGUGCCUUCUUAAACUGUUAUUUUAUUCAUUAGGUUGUUUUCGGAAUCAGACUACUCCCGGUAGUAUCGACACGUUUUUGUCAUAUUUACCACUUGUACUCAAUUAACAUAAGUUUUAGUUUCAAUCUUAUGUCCUACUUACCAAGAACCCAGCCUUGCCACGUUGGUUGAGUAACACCGAGAUAAAUUCCAAGCAAAGUUGUUGCGUGUAGGAAGAUAAAUAUUGUGACGUUCGUCCGUACUAAAGAAUACCGAUCCAGAAAGCUGUUAGUUUCAGAAAUUUCGCGUACAUCUACACAAAUUCUCACGUGAUGGACUAAAGGAAAGGGAGGCUAGUGAACAGCAUCCAUUGUCAACUCUUGGGCUACUCUUAUAUGACCGAAUAACUGGAUUUGACUGUUACUUUUAUGAUGCAACAAUAGCCCUAAAGCGUGGAGCGCGUUUUUGUGGCAGUGGGCCGUGAAGUAUGGUUCCUCGGAUUGACAGUCCGCUCGCGCUAAUCUUAAGGCCACACUGGACCUAUUUUCAAAGGAAAUUAAUGAAAACUAGCAGAAAUACCAACCCUCUGGACAGGUAUAACUGCUAUUUCCUGCGGAAGGCUGUUGGGCCUACGACCUUUUCUGUAAUUGUCUGACAGUUCUACAACAAUGUACUCAUACUUGACAUUCAAUAAUGUUCAC